AACAGGAUUAGAUACCCGGGUAGUCCAUGCCGUAAACGAUGAGUGCUAAGUGUUGGAGGGUUUCCGCCCUUCAGUGCUGCAGCUAACGCAUUAAGUAUUCCGCCUGGGGAGUACGACCGCAAGGUUGAAACUCAAAGGAAUUGACGGGGGCCCGCACAAGCGGUGGAGCAUGUGGUUUAAUUCGAAGCAACGCGAAGAACCUUACCAGGUCUUGACAUCUUCUGCCAGGCUGAGAGAUCAGCUGUUCCCUUCGGGGACAGAAUGACAGGUGGUGCAUGGUUGUCGUCAGCUCGUGUCGUGAGAUGUUGGGUUAAGUCCCGCAACGAGCGCAACCCUUAUGUUCAGUUGCCAGCAUUCAGUUGGGCACUCUGGACAGACUGCCGGUGACAAACCGGAGGAAGGCGGGGAUGACGUCAAAUCAUCAUGCCCCUUAUGACCUGGGCUACACACGUGCUACAAUGGGUGGUACAACGAGCAGCGAGACCGCGAGGUCAAGCGAAUCUCUAAAAACCAUCCUCAGUUCGGAUUGCAGGCUGCAACUCGCCUGCAUGAAGCUGGAAUCGCUAGUAAUCGCGGAUCAGCACGCCGCGGUGAAU
rnacentral:rRNA from 1 species